CUAUGGCUAAGCAAUUCUUCAGUUCUGCCACCACUUGAUUCAUUGACGGUCUUCUUCCAGGGUUCUCGGAUACACAAGUUAUCGCUAUUUCCACUGCCUUCCAAACUGAGUUCACUUCAUAAUUACUGUCCAAUCUUCGGUCAAUUAUGCCAUUAAUAUCCCCUCGAGCUGCCAUGGAGUUUACCCAUUUGAUGAUAUGAGCUUCAGACUCAGUUAGUGGCCUUACAGGUAACCAAUAGUGCCAGCAACAAUGGUGGACAUGUGGGUGUUGUUGCCCUCUGUUUGGAAGCUUUUGGACAAACCAAAAUCUGCAAGUUUGGCUUGGAAAUUCUCUGUCAGUAAGAUGUUUGUUGUUUUCACAUCUCUGUGGAUUAUGGGCGGUUUGCAACCAUCGUGCAGGUACUCCAAUCCUGUUCUAAAUUGUUAGAACUUUUUUCAUGUUGAUAAGGUGCUUGUGAAAAUGCUCAUGUGACAUAAUCAAUUUACCUUGUGCUGCAUCCAAGGCUAUUCGGAGUCUAUCUUGCCAACUUAAGACAUGUGAGCUCUUCUCUGUUUGAAUUUGAUAAGUUUUGAAAAUUUUAGUGUCAGCUUUUGAGUUGAAAUUGAAAAUAAAAUUGCUGAGAUUAAUCAAUUGAAAAUGUUUAACUUGUUGGAAGUUGAUCACCUGAAAGAUGCUCUGCUAAGUUUCCAUUGGCCAUGAACUCAUAAAUGAGGCCAAUGUGGUUUCCUUCGUUCAAAUACCCCACUAGACUUGUCAAGUUCUUAUGGUGAGCUCUCAAAAGAAGUGUAACCUACAAUGUAGAAAACAACAUCAUAGUUAUUAUACAGGUGAAGUUAACUUAGAAGUGAAAAUUUUAGUGGUGUGUGCAUACCUCUGCCUGAAACUGUUGAUAGCCUUGUCCUGAUGCUUGAGAAAGCAACUUUACAGCCACUUGAACGUUGUUGAUGAGGCCGUAGUAAACCAUCCCAAAACCUCCUUUCCCCAGAACUCUCUCAAAAUUAUUUGUCAUCUUUAAUACUUCUGAAUAUGUAAAUUGUCUCUUUUUUGACUCCAAUAAAACACCAAGUCCAUUUUGUGGUUUCUUCUUCAAUUUAAUAAUCCAAAAGAUGCUUGUUGCAAUUGCGGCAAUAGCUACCAACCCACCAAUUGAUGCUACUAUCGGUAUAACUACGUUAUUUUUCCCACUCUUCUUCUUUGCACAUGAAUCUGACUGACAUGCAUCUAGAUUUUGAUUCCCUUGAACACUACGUCAAUAUUGUGACAAAAAGUUUAUAAUUUAAGAAUACAUCAAACUUGUAAAGUUAGACAACUAUGUAAAUCAUGAAGCUUUUGCAGAAAAUAAACCUUAACAAUAAUGAACCAUCAACGGAUUUCGUAAUGAGUUCAGAUGGAACAGUCCCUGUGAGCUUGUUGUUGUCUAACUUUCUGCAAAUAGAGUGAUCGAUGUAUUAAUAUUGCAUAUCCUAAUUACUACGAUUCAAGAUGAAUUAUGCUCAUCACUUACAGGACUUUAAGCUUUUUCAAUGUAGAAAGAAAAGUAGGGAUAUUUCCUGUCAGGUUAUUAUUAGACAAGUCCCUGCAAAUAUCAAGUACGAUCAAUGGCUAAUUCUAAUAUAGUUCCAAUUGGGGUCGGGGUUGAAUGUAUCCAACACCAUUUACUUACAAAGUUUGUAUCAUUUCUAGAUUCAUUAUAUAUGAAGAAAUUUCCCCACCCAAUCCACUUGAUGACAAAUUCCUGAAAAGAGAAAGUUACUUAUUUCAUCAUUUUAUGUAAACAUAUUUUAGAAGUCAAAAGGUAUAUUUGUCAUGAGGUUACUUACAGAGACCAAAUUCUAGGAGCAGUUUCGUUGGAACAGUCUAUACCCUCCCAAGGGUAUGCUCUUGGAACGCAUGGAUCUCCUUCCCAGUCUUUGAUUAUUCCAUAAGUUGACUUGAUGUUUUUUAUUGCAUCCACUAGUUAUUCAUAUAUUUUUCAAAAAUUAGAAGUAGCUAAAUCUAUUACAAGCCGAUUUGGAUUGACAUUUUUAAAAAGUGUGAAUCCAAAAUGGCUCUAGAUGAGAAAAGACGAUCCAAAGGAAAAGAGAAAUAUAAGCAUAUACCAUCUCCUUGAUUUGAUGCUAGCUGAGAGAGAUCUAUUACAAUAUAAGAUUCCAUAGCAUUUAGGAUGGGAGGAAGUGUUGAAUUUUCAACUGGGACUAUUGAGAAUUGAUGUGUUUUGGUCGGCUGAUUUUGAAUUGGUAUUGGUUUUGUAGUAUAAAUAGUUGAUGUGAUCAAGUAACGAGGACUAAAAGGUCCAUACAUAUAUUGGCCAUUAUAGGUAAUGUUGAAUCCUCUUGUUUGAUUGGGUUGGAGAUUUUCUACUUCAGCAAAGUGCAUAUAUAUAUGAUAUUGGGUUGUUUCAUCUUCUGACUCCCAUUGGAACCGCAAGGACUCAUUUUUAUUUAUUUGAACUGCUGCUGUUCCCAUGACACCAGACCCUAGCUGGAAAUUAUCGUUAUCAUCAGAUUUUAUCUCAAGUGUGGUACUAAUGCUUGUCCACUGACCAAAGUUGAAAGGCACCCAAAAUCGAUCAUAGACAUCAUCUGGAAACCUAAAGAAAAACAACUUUUAGGAGAGAUGAUCUUGGUGAGAACAAAAAAAAAAAAAAGAAAUAGUUGUCAAAUGAGGCCUUUAUUUGCUACAAACCUAUAUGAGUUAUUUGUCGUUGUACCCAUAUCUAACCGACUAUGAUACAACAACGAGCUGGACGAGACGUAAGUCUCACUAGGCAAAGGUCUAAACUCUAACGAAGAGAUGAAAGGAGUCCCAUUGUUUGUAUUUACAAGACAAAUUUGUACUUGAUUGUUUGAGGUCACAUGUAUGAUGUCUGUUGUGAUUUCGAUGCUUUCCUCGGUGAAUUUCACUGUCGUCCAUAGACUAUCUCCAAAGUAGAGGUCGAAAGUUGGCAGUUUACUAAGCCCAUCGUAAUUACCAUACAAGAAACCUGCUCGCAUCAAAUACUUGGUGUCUUUUUUAAUGGCUAUUGUGUAGCAAUUCCUACGUCCUUGUGGAAAGCUUCUAAGGUGAUGAUAUUGUUGUCGAAAUAAAGUUUGAUAAUUAGAGGAUGGGCUUUUGCUUACACCACUGUUUAUAUAGGGAAUAUCUGAAGUAAAGAGAAGUGUUGUUGUUGAUUCAACAUAACUUGUAUUUGUUGGCAAUCCACAAUCUAAGCUGAUGAAACCUACCAAUAAGCAAAUGAAGCUUAGAAUCUUUUCUCUUUUUAACAUUAAUUUCUUCUUUAAAUAUUUGAAUUCUUAGUUAAAUUUGGAUAAACACAAAAAUAAGUUGGAUUAUAGUUGUGUUUAUAACAAUUUUCUUGAAAUCUAUGCUUGUUCUUUUUCUUCAAUUUUUUAUAUUAUGGUUUUAACAUAUUUAGAUAGAAUACUUUGAUUCUAAGUUAAAAAGUUUGGAAUUUCUUUUUCUUUUCAAAAUUUAGUUCAGUUUUUGAUAAUAUGCAGUAGAAUUGGAUAAUAAAACAUAGGAACUUAUGAAUGAAAUGAGUGUUUUUAAGUCUAAAUUUGAAAAACAAAAGACUUAAUUUUUUUUUUAUAAAAAGAUUCAAGGAGUUAAUUAGAUUUAUAAGAUUAAUAUACAUACCUAAUUGAUCUUGAGGCUGGACAAGAAUGGCAUUAAGAGCUAAGCAACCUAAAAAAGCGAGUAAAUGUUGGGUAACAACCACGAUCAUUUUGUUAAUCUUAAUCCUACAGAUGGAUUGAGUUAAAUAUCCGAAAGUCACAAACAUGUGUAGUUUUUAUAUAUAUGUGAUUGUUAUGUACUUUGUUUUGAUCGAUCCAAUAAUUUAAUUAAGGCUAGCUAGUUUUAAUAAACAAGAUUUAUUUAAUUGACUUUUUAAGCAUGAUGAUGACAACUUAAGAAAACAAUUAGCAACCAUGUCAAAUUCAAAAAAUCAAGUGUUGAAUAUAUAAUAUAUAUAUCUUUGUUUCAUAUACCAUAUCAUGCAAUGUUGUUAUUAUUUUUUGAGAUGUUGGGUGGAUUUAUAAUAAUAUCAUUGACUAAGCUUUGAUAUCCAUAUUUUUCCUUUUCAUUUAAUUUUUUUAUAUUUAAUAAGUAAAUAAAUUAUACGUUAACUAAUCGUAAUUUUAAAAUUUUCGUACAAACAAGACUUGCGUACAAUUAAACCGUGAACGACCAAAUCCAUGCAUGGAAACUUACAAAAUAACCUUCAAUGUUUGGUUUGGGUCAUGAAUUAUCUAGGUCUCUUCCUCCUUUCUAGUUUUAUCAAUUUUUUUAUUCUAAUUUUAAUAUUACAUUUUAGAUGUCACAAAAAUCAUCCGAACAACGUUGUGUCGAUGAAGUUGUUGAAAUUGAUGGAUUAAUAAGUGAGUGACCAUAAUCAAACGAGAAAACGUAGCCAAUCGAUUACAAAUACUUCAAAAGGAUAUAAAUUUUUUAUAUCUUUUUUUUUAUGUUUAACAUUGGAUAUUAUUAAGAAAACAAGAAAUAGUUAUCCGACACAUUUUUAUAAAAGAAAACGAAAAACAGAUAGUUACCAAAUAAACUUAAUAAUUCGUUCAGUGUGACUUUCUUCUAAAAUUCUAAUAGUUCGUCAAAAUUUAAAUAUAAAAAGUUAAAAGAAAAAGUAAGCAAAAUUAGAUGUCACAUACUCACACCUAUUGUAAAUAUAUAAAUACAUUGACUUUGCUUCAAAACCAUAAAGUAAAAUGCUUGUUUGUUAAUUUAAUUAAACUUUAGAAUCCAACUCGAUAUAGUUUACAAUCAAACGAAAAAUCAACAAGAUCCUGCAAUCCCCAUAUGAAAUUCAACAACUUUUUCAUCUAGCCAUUGGAGUGGCUUCACUAUAAUCCAUUACAAUGGACAUCAUGUUGACGGAAUUCGUCGAAUUAAACCCUCCACUCUCCGGUGUUCGUUCCAAUUCCAUGGCUAAACAACUCUUCAGCUCCCCCACCACAUGGUUCAUCGUUGGUCUUCUUCCAGAGUUCCCAGAUACACAAUUCAACGCCACCUCCACUGCCUUCCACACUGAGUCUGCAGCUGAUUAUCUCCAGUAGAGCUACUCCAAAGCUGUACACAUCGCUUUUCUCCGUCAGCCUGUUCGAUAAGUAGUAGCUGGAAACACACAAGCCAAUAACGUAAACUUUAUUAGAGCUUUGAAAAUAGGAUCUUCUACUUUUAUAUCAUGUUGGGUUACUGCGGAAUUUUUUGUUUAUGCAAAAAAAUAUCAUAUUGACUUGGCAAUUGGAAGGGAGUGAACAAAUUUUGGUUCCUGUUCUUACUCUGGAUCAAGGUAACCAGGGGUGCCAGCAACAACGGUGGACAUGUAGUUGUUAGUCUUGUUGGCAUCUACUGGGAAGCUUUUGGAUAAACCAAAAUCUGCAAGUUUUGCUUGGAAAUUCUCUGUCAAUAAAAUGUUUGCUGUUUUCACA